UACGUAGGGUGCGAGCGUUAAUCGGAAUUACUGGGCGUAAAGCGUGCGUAGGCGGUUCGUUAUGUCUGCUGUGAAAGCCCCGGGCUUAACCUGGGAAUGGCAGUGGAAACUGGCGGGCUUGAGUGUGGCAGAGGGGGGUGGAAUUCCGCGUGUAGCAGUGAAAUGCGUAGAGAUGCGGAGGAACACCGAUGGCGAAGGCAGCCUCCUGGGCCAGCACUGACGCUCAUGCACGAAAGCGUGGGGAGCAAACAGG
rnacentral:rRNA from 1 species